rnacentral:rRNA from 1 species
UACAGAGGUGGCAAGCGUUGUUCGGAAUUACUGGGCGUAAAGGGCGCGUAGGCGGUUCGUUAAGUCCUGUGUGAAAUCCCCCGGCUCAACCGGGGAACUGCGUGUGAUACUGGCGGGCUUGAAUUCGGGAGAGGGAUGUGGAAUUCCAGGUGUAGCGGUGAAAUGCGUAGAUAUCUGGAGGAACACCGGUGGCGAAGGCGGCAUCCUGGACCGAGAUUGACGCUGAGGCGCGAAAGCUAGGGGAGCAAACGGG